UACGUAGGGUGCAAGCGUUGUCCGGAAUUAUUGGGCGUAAAGAGCUCGUAGGCGGUCUGUCGCGUCGGCUGUGAAAACCUGGGGCUCAACUCCGGGCCUGCAGCCGAUACGGGCAGACUAGAAUUCGGUAGGGGAGACUGGAAUUCCUGGUGUAGCGGUGAAAUGCGCAGACAUCAGGAGGAACACCAAUUGCGAAGGCAGCUCGCUGGGACGUUACUGACGCUGAGACGCGAAAGCGUGGGGAGCAAACAGG
rnacentral:rRNA from 1 species